rnacentral:lncRNA from 1 species
UUAAUCGGAGCCACUCUUUGUCUGCUUCUUAAAAUAUAAAAUAGAAGCUAAUAUAAGUCUUUAGAUCAAAAAAAUUGAAUGGACAAAUUUAGUCUUAUUUUGAUAUUGUAAUUUAGACCCCAGAUUAGUUUAGGGCAAUAAGGUAAUCUAUAUAAUAUAAAAUAGGAGAUUUUUUUCUCCAUUUUUUUCCUCUCUUUUUCUCACUCUUCUCCCAACAAUUUUUUUUCGUAGUUUUUUUCUUUUAUUUUAUAUAUUUUAAUUAUUUUCUAAAAAUCGUCAAAUUUGAUUCAUAAAA